rnacentral:rRNA from 1 species
UUAAAGGUACCCGUACCGCAAACCGACACAGGUGGGUGAGGAGAGUAUCCUAAGGCCCGCGAGAGAACUGUUGUUAAGGAACUCGGCAAAAUGACCCCGUAACUUAGGGAUAAGGGGUGCCACCAUCUGGUGGCCGCAGAGAAUAGGCCCAAGCGACUGUUUACCAAAAACAUAGGUUUCUGCUAAGUCGCAAGACGAUGUAUAGGAGCUGACGCCUGCCCGGUGCUGGAAGGUUAAGGGGAUCUGUUAGAG